UCUUGGUCUGGUUGUAGAGAUACAGUGAUCAGGUUACGACGGAUUUCUCAAGUAACAACCUCGUAGCUUGAUCACGAUAUCCCUAUGACUUGAGA
rnacentral:miRNA from 12 species